GGCAGAUGAUGUCUGUUUUCACAAUGGUCUUCAGAAGCCCACUAUGGGCACUGCUGAAUGCCACUUGGUAAAACCGAUGCUGGAAG
rnacentral:snoRNA from 1 species